GACCACGCGCCCCUCUCGAGCCCCGCCCACUCCGACCUCUUUGUUCGAUUUCUUCAGAGCGCGCGACGGCUUCGCCCCCACCGAUGGGGAGGGGGAAGCUGUGGAAAGAAGCGGCGCUAUCCCAUCAUGCACCACGCCCCCAACAGACAGUAGUAAAAGUCAAUGCAAACUAACUUCAAAAAAAAAAAGAGAAGA